rnacentral:rRNA from 1 species
GAUGAACGCUGACAGAAUGCUUAACACAUGCAAGUCUACUUGAACUUCGGUUUGGGUGGCGGACGGGUGAGUAACGCGUAAAGAACUUGCCUCACAGUUAGGGACAACAUUUGGAAACGAAUGCUAAUACCUGAUAUUAUGAUUUUAGGGCAUCCUAGGAUUAUGAAAGCUAUAUGUGCUGUGAGAGAGCUUUGCGUCCCAUUAGCUAGUUGGAGAGGUAACGGCUCACCAAGGCGAUGAUGGGUAGCCGGCCUGAGAGGGUGAACGGCCACAAGGGGAAUGAGACACGGCCCUUACUCCUACGGGAGGCAGCAGUGGGGAAUAUUGGACAAUGGACCAAAAGUCUGAUCCAGCAAUUCUGUGUGCACGAUGACGUUUUUCGGAAUGUAAAGUGCUUUCAGUUGGGAAGAAAAAAAUGACGGUACCAACGGAAGAAGUGACGGCUAAAUACGUG